CAGUCGCCGCGGUAAUACGUAGGGUGCGAGCGUUAAUCGGAAUUACUGGGCGUAAAGCGUGCGCAGGCGGUUGUGUAAGACAGGUGUGAAAUCCCCGGGCUUAACCUGGGAACUGCGCUUGUGACUGCACAGCUAGAGUAUGGCAGAGGGGGGUGGAAUUCCACGUGUAGCAGUGAAAUGCGUAGAGAUGUGGAGGAACACCGAUGGCGAAGGCAGCCCCCUGGGCCAAUACUGACGCUCAUGCACGAAGGCGUGGGGAGCAAACAGGAUUAGAUACCCGUGUAGUCCCUGUCUCUUAUAA
rnacentral:rRNA from 1 species